UACAGAGGUCCCAAGCGUUGUUCGGAUUCACUGGGCGUAAAGGGUGCGUAGGUGGCUUGGUAAGUUUGAUGUGAAAUCUCCGGGCUUAACCCGGAAGUGGCAUUGAAUACUAUUGAGCUGGAGGUUUGGAGGGGGGACUGGAAUUCUCGGUGUAGCAGUGAAAUGCGUAGAUAUCGAGAGGAACACCAGUGGCGAAGGCGAGUCCCUGGACAACACCUGACACUGAGGCACGAAAGCUAGGGGAGCAAACAGG
rnacentral:rRNA from 1 species